rnacentral:lncRNA from 1 species
AUGAAUAGAGUAGAAUACUUCAGUCAUUUGAGAGUCGUGUUACUGGUCCUGAAACAAAACUGUUGUGACAAGUUGUUAAAUGGAGGACUUUCCAAGAAAUCAGUCCUUCAUAGCAGAAAGACUUGCAGACAAGGCACAAUGCCAUGCAGAAUCAGGCCUCAUUUCUUACCACCAGAGGAGUUGUAUUUGAUAACCAAGACCUGCAGAAAUAAAUAUGUGAAAACAGCGAUAACUUCGGAUGAGCAUCUAAAACACUCAGACCCUGGAAGACAAGAGGAUGACAGCAGCAGGUGGCUUUACUUUCCCUGGACGCUUAGGGGUACAGGCACUGACCAGUCCCUGUUAGUGAACUGCUUGGAGGAGUCAGGCUUUGCAAGAAACUGAGUACAAGAUACCUUACAUUCAUCUGAUUGAUACCCAAACAAACUGCACUACAAUAUUUGGAACUUGUUGCAAGACAAGUCUCAAGAGAUCAAGGGUUCUUCUCCUAAAACACCUUGAAUCCCCUUCCUUGCAGGACUUCUGAUGUUUUUACAGUGUAGGAGUUCCCUGUCAUCAUUAAG